UAGGGAAUAUUGGACAAUGGGCGCAAGCCUGAUCCAGCAACGCCGCGUGAAUGAUGAAGGCCUUAGGGUUGUAAAAUUCUUUCGCCAGGGAAGAUAAUGACUGUACCUGGUAAAGAAGCCCCGGCUAACUCCGUGCCAGCAGCCGCGGUAAUACGGAGGGGGCUAGCGUUGUUCGGAAUUACUGGGCGUAAAGCGUGCGUAGGCGGACUGGAAAGUCAGAUGUGAAAUCCCGGGGCUCAACCCCGGAACUGCAUUUGAAACUAUCAGUCUAGAGUUCUGGAGAGGUAAGUGGAAUUCCUAGUGUAGAGGUGAAAUUCGUAGAUAUUAGGAGGAACACCAGAGGCGAAGGCGGCUUACUGGACAGAUACUGACGCUGAGGCACGAAAGUGUGGGGAGCAAACAGGAUUAGAUACCCCCGUAGUCC
rnacentral:rRNA from 1 species